rnacentral:lncRNA from 1 species
CAUCGUUCCCACAUGCAAGGGGAGUCAAGGUUAUCUGCUGUGAUCAUCCUUAAUUAUUUUCGGCGUAAGAGUUACCAAUUCCAAAUCCUUUCUCUUAAUUUCUUUUUAAACUGCUACCGAUUAAGGUUUUUGAGUUUUCCUUUAACAGGUCAUUUUUAGAUCUGUCGUCAGGAAACUUCCCUUCCAAAAGACAAGAGACUUGGCCAGAUUAUUUAUUAUCCGCUCCGCGUUCGAUCUUGAUCAUGACCGUCGGAAAUCUGAGAAAGGCUCAACGAUCUUACAGUCUUCAAUGUUGGUAUCACUCAAGCUCACUGACUAAAUCACUUCCAAUUGCAAUUUUGCAACUUCUGAUGGUGACGGCAGUGAGUGGAUUAUGGGGAGGUGAUCCCGGACACACGCAAUCACUCGGUUCCGCCGCAUUUAGUAAAGGUGACGUUCUGAUCACAAAAGAUGGACAAAACCAGCUAUUGGCUGCAAUCAGUACCAAGGACUUUGUCAUGGCUAAAAAGAGCGGCAACGAAGUUGAAAUUUUUACGACGCAGCCUCAAAGUUCACGAACUCCGGUCCAAAAUAUUCCAGUGAAGGUGCAACCCGGAUGGAAUGGGGAUAAACGAGUAGCUUUAGCCAUGAAACUCUCCGGAAAAAUGUAUCCCUACAAUUCGAUAUCGUGCAACGAAAAUGACUACAUGAAGUACAUAGUGUAUGGUAAAACUAACCAGCCUCUGACGGGCAAUUCAGCUUGUCCGCUCAGAAGGGAUUUGUCAACGGUGAGCAUCGCAGAAAUCAGGUCGCCUGGUUUUUACUUGGAGAGCAAAAAUAAGCGCGUCAUAGUGGACCAACUGCCCAAGGCUUCGGCUGGGUGAUGUCACUACAACGAGUAUAGCAGUUAGCAGUGUCACUACGCAGUUUAGUUUUUACUACAUAUGAUAUAUUGAUGUUCCGCAGCCCGUGACAAGAUAUACAAUAAUAACAAUUUAAACGGCGGGCAGUAGGGCUAAUUUUUACAUAAAUACCGCCAAAACGUUUCGGCUGAAAACUCAGCCUUCUUCAGUUCGAUUAAAACAGUAAACUUUUUUAAAUCUAAAAUCUUAGUGCUUGGCUGUACCUUUUAAAGCGAGAAAACAAAAAGCACAGCCACGUACUAAGUUUCCAAAUUCUUAAAAGGUUUUUACUGUACGGUUUUGGCGGUAUUUAUGUGAAAAUUAGCCUUACUACCCGCUGUUUAAAUUGUUAUUAUUGUUUUUAAUACAGUUUCAUGGAGCUUCCGCCGAGAAAAAUAUUUGGGGGUUAAGUCCCAACUGUUGAAUGAUAUGGACAUUUCCAAUCAAUUGUGCUAGUGCACCGAUGAAUUGGGUUACUAACCCAAAUGUUGCGGUACUGCAAAAAGUAUUUGGAAAUGCCCAUAUCAUCGAACGAAUUGGGGUAGUACCACAAUUUUAGCGGAUAACCCCUUAUUUUUUCCCCCGUGUACUUUAUAUGUGUCUUUUCUCGUUAGUACGUUUUUUUUUUCUUUUCGAGCUACGAAUAGGAAAUAAAUUUUGUGUAGCUAAAAAAUAUAAAAAUUCGGUAUUAAAGAAAUAACUUCUUCUGGCGAAGAAUUGAUUCAUAAAGUCCUGAAAUUGAAAGUUUCUACCAUUGCCCUGAUAUCAAUGAAGGGUCUCUCUUUGUCUCUGUUUCUAACUAAAAAUUAAAUUUCUGUCUAAUACUUGAUAAGUUUUUCAGAGAGUAACUACAGUCUUUGCGCUUACUUUUGCUGGCCAAAUCUGUCCUGCUAACGAUAAAUGUCGUAGGAGCCUUCAAACGUUGCCGAAUUUCACUCGAUAAAAUAAGAUAAUUUUCUGAUGAUUUGAUUCGCUAUUUGACCAAAAAUGUCUGAAAAUUGCAAAGAAAAAGAUUUAGAACUUUCCUCAAAAUGGAUGUAUUAUACGAAGAUAAUUUGCAACAUCUGAAUGUUCAUACGGCUUUUCUCUUUACCACGGCAGAGAUAACUUAGUUUCGGAUUAUCCGCGAUUUUUAGUUAUCCACGUUAGCUCUGGUCCCAACUAUAACGCGUAUAAUCGAGACUCGACCAUAGGUACCUCUUGGCAGCCAAAUAAUUUGGAGGUUGAUAACGAAAUACGUAAAACCUGUGUUAUGGUUGCAUUACGGGGGAGGGAAGAGAUCUAACACUGCGUUACGGGGGAGAAAAGAGUUCAGGGCCUCGUUAUGUAAGAUUUGACGCGCUGUAUAUUUUCAACUUCUUUUAAAGAGGAAUUCUUAUUAUUUUGCUUCUUAAAAUUUCAUUUUAAUAUUAAACCUUAUUACAUUUUCUCCUUUGUCUAAUGAUUUCCUUUCCUCUUUUAAUUGCAACAAUAAAGAAAUUUCGAACCCAUUAUUUUGACUACAUUUACCUCU